UGGGGAAUUUUGGACAAUGGGCGCAAGCCUGAUCCAGCAAUGCCGCGUGCAGGAUGAAGGCCUUCGGGUUGUAAACUGCUUUUGUACGGAGCGAAAAGGUCUGCCCUAAUACGGUGGGCUCAUGACGGUACCGUAAGAAUAAGCACCGGCUAACUACGUGCCAGCAGCCGCGGUAACACGUAGGGUGCGAGCGUUAAUCGGAAUUACUGGGCGUAAAGCGUGCGCAGGCGGUUAUAUAAGACAGGUGUGAAAUCCCCGGGCUCAACCUGGGACCUGCAUUUGUGACUGUAUAGCUAGAGUACGGUAGAGAGGGAUGGAAUUCCGCGUGUAGCAGUGAAAUGCGUAGAUAUGCGGAGGAACACCGAUGGCGAAGGCAAUCCCCUGGACCUGUACUGACGCUCAUGCACGGAAGCGUGGGGAGCAAACA
rnacentral:rRNA from 1 species